rnacentral:rRNA from 1 species
GGGCGGCUGGCUUAAUACAUGCAAGUCGAGCGAACAGAAGGGAGCUUGCUCCCGGAUGUUAGCGGCGGACGGGUGAGUAACACGUGGGUAACCUGCCUGUAAGGACUGGGAUAACUCCGGGAAACCGGGAGCUAAUACCGGAUAGUUCCUUGAACCGCAUGGUUCAAGGAUGAAAGACGGUUUCGGCUGUCACUUACAGAUGGACCCCGCGGCACAUUAGCUAGUUGGUGGGGUAAUCCCUCACCAAGGCGACGAUGCGUAGCCGACCUGAGAGGGUGAUCGGCCACACUGGGACUGAGACACGGCCCAGACUCCUACGGGAGGCAGCAGUAGGGAAUCUUCCUUCACUCCCCCCCAACUCUCACGCAGCACCCCCNCUCCCCCCCCCCCCCUUCUGUGGGGAAGCUAAAA